GGGACACGUGUGGAGAGCACAAGCCGGAAAUGGAAAAGCCGGUGCAAGCGAGGUAGGAGAUGAAUAGGCAAAUCCGUUCAUCAAUCCGAAGACGCGAUGCGGACCGAAUUAAGAGUAGGGAAGUGUGUGAGCCAUGCGUCAAGAAAAGCCGCUAUUGUUUUACUUAAGCCCGUACCGUAAACCGACACAGGUGGAUGAGGAGAGAAUCCUAAGGCCGACGGGAGAAGCAUUGUUAAGGAACUCGGCAAAAUGACUCCGUAACUUCGGGAGAAGGAGUGCCAGCGAGAGCUGGCCGCAGAGAAUUGGCCCAAGCAACUGUUUAGCAAAAACACAGGUCUAUGCAAAACCGUAAGGUGAAGUAUAUGGGCUGACGCCUGCCCGGUGCUGGAAGGUUAAGAGGAGAGGUUAGCGGCAACGCGAAGCUUUGAAUUUAAGCCCCAGUAAACGGCGGCCGUAACAAUAACGGUCCUAAGGUAGCGAAAUUCCUUGUCGGGUAAGUUCCGACCCGCACGAAAGGCGUAAUGAUUUGGGCACUGUCUCAACAAUGCACCCGGUGAAAUUGAAAUACCAGUGAAGAUGCUGGUUACCUGCGCCAGGACGGAAAGACCCCAUGGAGCUUUACUCCAGCUUGAUACUGGGAUUCGGUAUUGCAUGUACAGGAUAGGUGGGAGGCUAGGAAGUGAUAACGCCAGUUGUCACGGAGCCGCUGUUGGGAUACCACCCUUGCAGUAUUGGAUUUCUAACCAGCGACCAUGAACUGGUCGGGGGACAAUGUCAGGUGGGGAGUUUGACUGGGGCGGUCGCCUCCGAAAGGGUAUCGGAGGCGCUCAAAGGUUCCCUCAGAAUGGACGGAAACCAUUCGAAGAGUGCAAAGGCAGAAGGGAGCUUGACUGCGACACCGACGGGUGGAGCAGGUACGAAAGUAGGACUUAGUGAUCCGGUGGUAUAAAGUGGGAUUGCCAUCGCUCAACGGAUAAAAGCUACCCUGGGAUAACAGGCUUAUCACUCCCAAGAGUUCACAUCGACGGAGUGGUUUGGCACCUCGAUGUCGGCUCAUCGCAUCCUGGGGCUGAAGUAGGUCCCAAGGGUUGGGCUGUUCGCCCAUUAAAGCGGUACGCGAGCUGGGUUCAGAACGUCGUGAGACAGUUCGGUCCCUAUCCGGCGUGGGCGUAGGAUAUUUGAGAGGAGCUGUCCUUAGUACGAGAGGACCGGGAUGGACUGGCCGCUGGCGUAUCUGUUGCAUACCAAGUGCAUGGCAGAGUAGCCAAGCCGGGACGGGAUAAACGCUGAAGGCAUCUAAGCGUGUAGCCCCCCUCAAGAUGAGAUAUCCCUACGUAAGUAGUAAGACCCCUUGAAGACGACGAGGUAGAUAGGUCAGAGGUGGAAGUACAGUAAUGUAUGGAGCUGACUGAUACUAAUCGGUCGAGGGCAUGACC
rnacentral:rRNA from 1 species